GUGGGGAAUAUUGGACAAUGGGCGCAAGCCUGAUCCAGCCAUGCCGCGUGAGUGAUGAAGGCCCUAGGGUUGUGAAGCUCUUUCACCGAUGAAGAUAAUGACGGUAGUCGGAGAAGAAGCCCCGGCUAACUUCGUGCCAGCAGCCGCGGUAAUACGAAGGGGGCUAGCGUUGUUCGGAAUUACUGGGCGUAAAGCGCACGUAGGCGGAUAUUUAAGUCAGGGGUGAAAUCCCAGAGCUCAACUCUGGAACUGCCUUUGAUACUGGGUAUCUCGAGUAUGGAAGAGGUGAGUGGAAUUCCGAGUGUAGAGGUGAAAUUCGUAGAUAUUCGGAGGAACACCAGUGGCGAAGGCGGCCAACUGGUCCAUUACUGACGCUGAGGUGCGAAAGCGUGGGGAGCAAACAGGAUUAGAAACCCUGGUAGUCC
rnacentral:rRNA from 1 species